rnacentral:lncRNA from 1 species
CUGCCGGCUACUUUCCAAGAAGCAAUGAGACCUGCUUGGAAUUCUUAGUGGGAUUAUCUGGAAGUUGCUGGCAGAGGGGGUUGGGUGCUGGAGGAAGGAACAGGCAGAGAGAUCACGUGUCUCAGCCCUGUUCUGCAUUUCUUUCUUCUCUCCCUCUGUCUUUAGCUCCUUCAUUCUAUCCCUCCUUGGAAGAUGAAUAGCCACUUUGUAAACUGAAUUCCAUUUUACUGGGAUCUGUUUUGCAGGGAGACAGCAUUGCAUGGCGCUGACGUUGCCGCCAGGCUGUGCGGAGUCGAAUUCUUCACCACAUGCUGGCUGUGUGGGCUUAAACUCUUCGUGUCUCAGUUCCUUGACAGUAAAGGAGUGGAAUUGAGCAGUGUGAAAAUGAACCAAUACAAGUCCCGGCCAUCAUCUGAUCUAUUCUGAGGGAUCGGGGUUACCUGAGGGAUUGGGAGAUUCCUGAUGCUUUCACCAAGAGACUUGUUUCCAUCACUGUAAGAUGGGGUUGAUGAUCCCCACCAGGAAACUGUAAGCCCUGAAUGAAACGAGUUCUGCUAAGAUUUUUGGAACCUGAGAAACACCAUACAAUGUAAGAUGCUUAUACAUCGUCUGGCCAAGAAUUCUUUUUUGACUUUAGUGCAACAAUAAAGGACUCCAGCCAGGCGUGGUGGCUCACACCUGUAAUCCCAGCACUUUGGGAGGCCAAGGCAGGCAGACCAUGAGGUCAAGAGUUCAAGACCAGCGUGGCCAACAUGGUGAAACCCCGUUUCUACUAAAAAUACAAAAAUGAGCCAGGCACAGUGGUGUGUACCUGUAAUCCCAGCUACUCAAGAGGCUAAGGCAGGAGAAUCACUUGAACCUGGGAAGCACAGGUUGCAGUGAGCCGAGAUCGCACCACUGCACUCUAGCCUGGGCAACAGAACGAGACACGGUCUCAAAAAAUAAAUAAAUAAAUAAAUAAAGGAAUCCUGAUUGAAAUUACCAGUAUGUCGUGAAAUAAGGAGCCUGCAUUAGAAUAUUAAACAACGCCCUGCUUCUUUCAUCGAGACAGUCUUGUUAUCAAAACAAAACAAAAAACCGCUGAGCUAAACAGCAUGCUUAGUGAGUAGCAGUACACUGACUGUAUUAGCCCUUCCAUGACUACAUGAUAGGAUUUCAAUGACAUUCUUAUCCUACUUGCAAAAUAAACAAGGAUCCAGGAAAUUGAUUAAAUUCAGGAUUCACCCAGAUGGGGCCACUGUCUCUUCUAAUUACUCAACAGGUCUUUACAGGGGGCCUACUAGAGCCCAGCCCAGUGGUCCCUGCCCAGGACCCUCCAAAUCAAAUGGGGAGACAAGACAUAAGCAAGGAACAUCACAAGAAGGCUAGGCACUAGGCAGUCCUACACAGAACAGAAUUGCAGAGAAGUCCAUGGAGUCAAGUGUCUCUGAGACAGAGCAAAUGGGGAAGGCUUCCUCAUGAGGAGGUGGCAUUUUCACCAGGGUUGAUGAAGUUAACCUGCAUUAAGUAAAAUUUAGAAAGUUCUAGGAACACAGAGCCUUAUACACAGUGUUCUUGUGCUCCUUUCUUAGUAAUCUAGAAAUGGGUUCUGGUGCUCAUGGGUGAGAUACUGGCCAGUUCUCUCAGGCAGAUAAUCCAGACUUCUUGCAUAUAGCUAGAUUCCUGUGAACACUUUGAUGCAUUUGUAUUAGAAAGAAAACAUCCAAGUCACAAAUAGCAUCUAUGCAGGGAGAACUCUUACACCUUUUCCUUUCCCUGCAGAGACCAGUGACCUAUUGAAGUGGUGCCUCUGGCUCAGUCGGCCUCAGUCUUCCGCUGGGACUCAGACCUGCUCCGGAAGUAAAAAAUGUUCCUGAUAUGUCAUCAACUCUGUCCUCUUUGUGCUUAAUUUGCAUUGACAACUGAAAAGUUAAGCAGAUGCAUCAUUGGGCCUCCUUGUUCAUUUUUUGCACUUCACUGUAAAAAACAAGAAAUGAUUAUAGAAAAAUGUAUAUAUCUGCUGGAAAACUCCUUUCUCCCCUCUUCCAGAAAGAAACAGAGAAAUAUUUACUUUAAGGAAUUGCUCAUGACUGUGGAUACUUGCAAAUCUGAAAUUUGCGGGAGAGGCGGGCAGGCUGGAGACCCUGGGAAGUGUUGAUGUUGCAGUCUUCAGUCCAAAGACAGCUGAAAUUGAAUCCACCUUUGGAUUCAUCUUCAUGAGGAUUUCUUCAUCUUCGAGGGACCUCAGUGUUUUCUCUUAAGACCUUCCACCUGAGGUUGGUGUUGCACUUCUCAUGGUGAUGGGCAGGUUCUCACAGGCUCCUCACAGCACGCCAUGCGGGUGGCAGACAAGGAGAGGACCCUUCUGCCCGUCUGCUCAUCUUGCAGGUGGGAAGUCUGAGCCAUGGGUUGUUCUGAGCAGCAUCCUGAGCUUCUCUCCUGUCUCUACCUCCACACCCCGAAGGUAGGCGCCAGACAUGCUGGUUGCUCCCAAAACCAGGGCCAGCAGCUUCUUGCAAAGUCAGAGGCACACUUGUUGGCUUGUCGAU